UACGAAGGGGCAAGCGUUGUCCGGAAUUAUUGGGCGUAAAGAGCGUGUAGGCGGUCCGGUAAGUCGGCUGUGAAAGUCCAGGGCUCAACCCUGGGAUGCCGGUCGAUACUGCCGGACUAGAGUUCGGAAGAGGCGAGUGGAAUUCCCGGUGUAGCGGUGAAAUGCGCAGAUAUCGGGAGGAACACCUAUGGCGAAGGCAGCUCGCUGGGACGUUACUGACGCUGAGGAGCGAAAGCAUGGGUAGCGAACAGG
rnacentral:rRNA from 1 species